UUCUGGGCAACAAGCAACGUGUUCAUUACACGCUGUAGGAAUUAUUACAACAACGGAGAUUCAACCAGUAUAAUGGAGCUAAAGAAGAAAACACCGAAGAAAAGAAGAUGCCGAUUAAGGCUGUUUAAUUGUGGUGAAAAUGGCAGGAAAAAAGAAAAAUGGAAAACAUUAAAGUUCAUUCAUUUCCUGCUGUGCACCAGUUGGUGGAAUAUAAGUGAGAAGAGCGGUUUUGAAAGAUGGGUUAUUUGAGUGUCUGUGGAGGCCUCUGAGAAGAGUGUGGAGACUGCUGCGCUGCCGUGGACCUGAUGCAACUGAAAUAAAACUUUCAGUGGAAGAAACCUCACCAUUUUUCAGUGGCCAUAGCUCUGUCCGUCCGUGGUGAAGAUCCUCAAGUUGUUUGUCUUCACUGAGGUGAUCGUAUUUAAUGAACUGAUGACCAGUCAAACAACAGAAUUCUUGGACCUAUGUUUUAAACCCAAGUAUAAAAGAAGGAUAAUGGAUAUACUUCCCCCUCGAAUCAUCAGCUCAGCCAUCCAACAUGUCCGUCUGACUGCCAUACUGACAUGGAACGGAUUUGUACUUCCAAAAUGAAAUGUGUAACAAUCAAGGUACUUUGUUACUGCCUGCUCAGGGACCACACUGUGCGUAAGCUUCUCAGUGAUUGUCUCUUCAAAGUUUUGGAUGGCAUGAUCUUCACUUUGCCAAACUGACAAAGACUGUAGUGGACACUGUUUUGUCCUAAAUUAGUUGGUUUAGAUCUAUGCAAGGAGGUGUUAGAUCAUUAGCUGGCCAGCUUGAAGAUAAUGAAGUGCUGUAACUGUAAAGUGUCCUUAAAUUUUAGAAAGUAUUUUUAAUGAGCUAUGCACACAUGCGUGCAUAAAAAAGCUGUACAUGUAUGUUUUCAUACAGAAAUCGUUGACAUUCCCUCCCAUCUUUUUUUAGAAUAAUCCACAUUCAUCAAGUUAAGAUCAAAGAUCAAAUAACUGUUGUGGAUCUGGCAUGAAUUUUUGUGAACUUUAAUAUGCAACACAUCAUCGGGACUGUGGCCUGUUAGCUUUUGAUAAAUUUCAAUCAGGUUUUGUGGUGCUCAGUUCACCACAAGGUGGUUAAUGAUUUUGUCUAGUACUUACAGUGAAUUGUACCACUGAUGUUUUACUUAAACCUCUUUAAAGGGAUAGUUCACCCAAAAAUGAAAAUUAUGCCAGUACUUUGUGUGGAAGAUAUUUUUGCUUUUUUAUAUUACCAUUUAUCAAAACAUCUUUUAUGUUACAUAGAAGGAAAAGUCAUACGGGUUUGAAACAACAUUAGGAGAGUGAAAUUUGUGACAGUGUAAAAUAUGACAAACUGUCAGAAGAAAUUCAUCUUGAUAAUGUCAGAUAACUUUGAUAGAAAGGUAUGUAAUGGAUUACAAUCAACCAAAAAUUCAGACAACUGUUAGUAUGACUAUUUACACAACUAUCAAUACUUUGUUGACCAAUUACCAAGCAAUGCUUGGUCAAAACAUGGUCAGGUCAAUGCUUCUGGAUAAUUUUUGGUCCAAAAUUUGAUCAGUUUUACUGGUAGUCCACUAUAUGAAGAAUGUUUGUGUAUAAUAUGUCAUAGUUUACUUUAUUUUGCUAUACUCGCUUGCAUAAAUGGACUGUAUCGUCCAACAUGUAACUUCCACAAAGUUACAUGUUGGUCAUGCCAUGAACCUACAGUCAAACCAAAAAUUAUUCAGACACCAGAAAUUUUUGAUGGUGUCCAACAAGUUUGGAUAUGUUUGGUUUUAAAAGCUAGGAACAGAAAAGAGAUGAUCAAAUUUGGCCCUUUUGACUAAGGCAAUGAUAAAACCAACAUUUAGGGGCCUUUUCUGUUUCUGUGCAUGCACCAAAGCCUGUCUGGUUGGAUUUUAGGCCUUUGGGAAUUUCCCUAAAAUCCAAGCACCAGCUUUCUUCAGGAGUGUUGCAACAACGUUUUGUCACCAUUAUUGGAGUAUUUAUAGUAGGCAUGCAGGAUGUUACCAUUUCUCACGAUGUGCCUACACUGGAAGUAAGUGACAAGCUAAAUCACUUCCAUUCGCUACCAACAAAGCUGUCUACAGUGCAAAUGAGCAAUAUUGCUUGUUUUGCUUGCCUCUCGUUGGCAGUGGCAACGUGGUUAUAUUUUGAGUAGAUAUUCUCUUAUUAAAACUUGUCCAGACACUUUGUGUCUCUUUUGGUUAUUUAUUUAGAGUUUUGUGAAGAAAACUAUUUAAACUGUGCUUGCAUUGUUAAGAUUAUGGUUGUAUGGAUGUCAGUGUGUAAUAUUAGUGUUAAGUGUCUGAAAAGAGAUAUAUGAAUGGAAUACUGUGAUGUUGUCUCAGUGCAAAAUGAGACUUGCAGCCUAAAUGUGAUGUAUGUGUUGAACUAAUAAAGGUAAAUGAUCCAAAUA